UCAAAUGAAUUGACGGGGGCCCGCACAAGCGGUGGAGCAUGUGGUUUAAUUCGAUGCAACGCGAAGAACCUUACCUGGUCUUGACAUCCACGGAAGUUUUCAGAGAUGAGAAUGUGCCUUCGGGAACCGUGAGACAGGUGCUGCAUGGCUGUCGUCAGCUCGUGUUGUGAAAUGUUGGGUUAAGUCCCGCAACGAGCGCAACCCUUAUCCUUUGUUGCCAGCGAUUCGGUCGGGAACUCAAAGGAGACUGCCAGUGAUAAACUGGAGGAAGGUGGGGAUGACGUCAAGUCAUCAUGGCCCUUACGACCAGGGCUACAC
rnacentral:rRNA from 1 species